GAGAAAAUGGAGACCAAGACGAUCGUGUACGACUUGGACACAUCAGGGGGGCUGAUGGAGCAAAUCCAAGCUCUUCUGGCUCCCCCCAAGACGGACGAGGCAGAAAAGCGGAGUCGGAAGCCUGAGAAGGAGCCCCGGAGAAGCGGCAGGGCCACCAACCACGACAGCUGCGAUAGCUGCAAGGAAGGUGGAGAUCUCCUGUGCUGCGACCACUGCCCGGCUGCCUUCCACCUCCAGUGCUGUAACCCUCCACUGAGUGAAGAAAUGUUGCCUCCUGGAGAGUGGAUGUGUCACCGGUGCACUGUUCGCCGAAAGGUAAUAAUGCUGCUUUCUGAAGACUGUCCAGAAAGCCUGAUCCAGAGCACUGAUACGCUAGAGCUAAGAUGGCCUAGCCCUGAAGGCAUUCUUGUCCCUUCUUCUUGUCUCUUCCAGCCCUGGAAUCACCCCACUCUUCCCAUGGUGACUGUUUGGAAUCCAGUAGGGCCUAAAAAUCCAAACAUGGGCUGCUGAAAUGGGCAGAAGAGGUGUGUUAACUUACUGAGCCAUGUUUAGUCACUAGUGACAGGAGUAGUCUUACCUUCUUGUUGUCCUCCUAAUAAGUGGCCUUAUCCAUAGCUGGAAAACGAAGGCUGCUUCUCCAGCUUGAUGGAAAAUGGAGUUUUCUCUCACCCCAGGGCAAAUAAGUCACUGGUAUCCAGAGACUUGGCAUACUGAUGGAGAGGAUUUUGAACCCAUUUGUACCCCAAGUUGCCUAAUCUUUCUUUAGCUUCCCUUCCUUCAGCUUUGAUAAUUCAGUACUGGCUUCAAGAACAUGGUUUAUUAUUUUCUACUUUGAGAACUCUUGUGGGUAACAAGAACUAAAUUCUCCCUUAUUAAAAAAGGAAGUAGGUGUGCUUGCACCCAAAUUAUGAUUGACCCAACCCUCAAAUUACAGACUAUGGAUUAGAAUUUGUCUGUGCAUUGUAAUCCACCCUCCUGUGCUCCCCACACUAAUUAUACACCAAGCAACUUUCCUAUGUUGUGACCUCACCUCUAUUUGCCUGGUCCCCGAACAUGAUGUCACAAUGAAUGAUGACUUCCUUGGUUGCAGAAACAGGAUGAGAUGAUUCAGAUUGUGGUUUAUGUGUGUAACAGUUUCAGCCUUUAAGAAAGAAAGUAAACAAGCAGACAUUAUUUUUCAAAUACGUGCAUAAGGAUUCAUAUUUAAAAGCAAGCCAAAGCCAAGUCAACCACCUAACCACAGCUGUAGUUAAAUUUCUCCAUAAACCAGGCUGUCUUCCAGCCUUUCCACCUUCCAAGAUCCUUUCCUGUGCAUCCCUAAUUAGGUUAGAGCAGGGCCUGUUAGAGGCACCUGCCAGCUAGGAGCCCUCUCAAACUUGCCACUCAAAAAAGCUGGACCUGAAAAGAUUUAGGGGAGCUGAAGGAAAAGAGGUAAAGACAGUGGAGAAAAGGAAAUAUUAUGUUAGUGACCAUCGUAUGCCAAGUGUUUUAUUACGUUAUCCCAUUAUCUAUCCAUCCAGCCAUAGAUGGAUACUGAAUGCUGGCAGUAGGUUUCCAUUUUAGAAAGGAAGAAACGGAGGCUCAAAAAUGUAGAUUAACUUUCCCAAGGACUCAAAGGAAUUGACAGAACCAAUAUUUGAACCAAAUUCUGUCAUUCCAAACCUCUGUUACCUCUUCAUCAGUUUUCUAGAAGGAGAGCUACUUGUUGGGGAUUACAGUAUGCCCUUUUCUAACAUGGCACUUCUCCUGAGAUGCCUCUCUUAGCUUUCACGUAGACCUCUUUGCCUACCAGUGCCAAGUCUGCCUUUUCCACUAUCACCAGCACUACUCCCCUUUGGCCUCUUGUAUUUACACUGAAGUGGUUUGAAAUAAUACAUCCUCUGGCCUUCAUCAGCUCCUGACAUUCAGGCCCUAUCAUGAUUUGUAGUGGAAGCACUAGGUCCUACUCCAACUCCAAAUUAUCCCUUUCAUAUAUAUGACCCUUUUUAUCUCCCUCCACCAUAUCCCUGAGAGGAGGAGGGGAAAGAUUUUUCUGUCUCAUUUUACAGAUGAAGAAAUUCCUGCCCACCAGCCUGAGUCACCACAAGGUCAGAGGGGAUCAGAGGCAGAAAUAGGACAAGAUCACAGGUCUCCUACCUGGAGAUCAGUGUUAAACCUUCAUUUGACCACUCUAUUGGGAGUCUUGGAGGAAAAUGUACUAUCAGAUAUCCAGUCCUACUGAGUACACUUAAUCUUUUUCCAUUUCCCCACUUUCUAAGAAGUGUCACUUAUUUUGAGCAAAGUUUUUAAAACCAUUCAGGAGGUCAGGAGGCUCAUAGUGAUCUCAUUAUUGAUUUUUUUUUCGAGAUGGAAUCUUGCUCUGUCGCCCAAGCUGGAGUGCAGUGGCGCAAUGUCAGUUCACUGCAAUCUCUGCCUCCCAGGUUCAAGCGAUUCUCCUGCCUCAGCCUCCUGAGUAGCUGGGAUUGCAGGCGCGUGCCACCACACCCAGCUAAUUUUUGUGUUUUCAGUAGAGAUGGGGUUUCACCAUGUUGGCCAGGCUGGUCUCAAACUCCUGACCUCAGGUGAUCUGCCUGCCUCGGCCUCCCAAAGUGCUGGUAUUACAGGCGUGAGCCACCAUGCCUGCCCCAUUGAUUUUUACUAUUGGUCUCACUAAAUUUAUUCUCACUGUGUUACCUUUUUAGCCCUUUACCCUAUACUUUAUAGAUGUUGUAUGUCAUAUGAUGAGUUAAUGUUAAUGAUGUAUAUUUUGUAUAGUUAUGCCUAACUUACCACGCUUUUUGGUGAUUCUCUGAUGCAACAGUUUUGUCAGCUUUAGUUCAGUUAUAGUUGUGUCAAUUUUAACAGACCAGUGUUCCAAGUGACCAGGUAGAUGAGUCUGUGAUAUGUGAAGGCCUUUUACGAUUUUGGUUAGUGGUCUACCAGGACUUCGUAGCACCCAUCUCUUUGUUUCAUGGUACUUUUCAUGAUGGGCCCACCUGUUCAUUUGCACAGAAACGAGAGCAGAAAAAGGAGCUGGGUCAUGUCAAUGGACUGGUGGACAAAUCUGGCAAACGGACUACAUCCCCCAGCAGUGACACUGACUUGUUGGACAGAUCGGCCAGCAAAACUGAACUAAAGGCCAUUGCCCAUGCCCGGAUCCUGGAAAGGAGAGCCAGCAGGCCUGGCACGCCCACAUCCAGCGCCAGCACAGAGACCCCCACCUCUGAGCAGAAUGAUGUCGACGAAGACAUCAUUGACGUGGAUGAGGAACCAGUAGCAGCGGAGCCAGACUAUGUGCAGCCCCAGCUGAGGCGGCCCUUUGAGCUGCUGAUUGCUGCCGCCAUGGAGCGGAACCCCACCCAAUUUCAGUUGCCCAAUGAACUGACUUGUACCACUGCACUACCAGGUUCUAGCAAGAGGAGAAGAAAGGAGGAAACCACAGGGAAAAAUGUUAAGAAGACACAGCAUGAAUUAGAUCACAAUGGUCUCGUUCCCUUACCCGUCAAAGUCUGCUUCACGUGUAACAGGAGUUGCCGUGUGGCUCCUCUCAUCCAGUGUGACUAUUGCCCUCUCCUGUUUCACAUGGAUUGCCUCGAGCCGCCGCUCACUGCCAUGCCCCUGGGCAGAUGGAUGUGUCCGAAUCACAUCGAACAUGUGGUGCUGAACCAGAAGAAUAUGACACUGAGCAAUCGGUGCCAGGUGUUUGAUCGUUUCCAGGACACCGUUUCGCAGCAUGUUGUCAAAGUGGACUUCCUGAACCGAAUCCACAAGAAGCACCCCCCUAACCGGCGUGUGCUCCAGUCGGUCAAAAGAAGAAGCUUGAAGGUUCCCGAUGCUAUAAAAUCUCAGUACCAAUUUCCACCCCCUCUCAUUGCACCUGCGGCCAUUCGGGACGGGGAGCUUAUCUGCAAUGGGAUCCCUGAGGAAUCACAGAUGCACCUUUUGAACUCUGAGCACUUAGCCACCCAAGCAGAGCAGCAAGAGUGGCUCUGUAGUGUUGUUGCGCUCCAGUGCAGCAUAUUGAAACAUUUAUCUGCUAAGCAGAUGCCUUCGCAUUGGGACUCUGAACAGACAGAGAAGGCUGAUAUUAAGCCUGUUAUUGUGACUGACAGCUCAAUCACCACCUCCCUGCAAACAGCUGACAAGACACCUACACCUUCCCACUACCCCUUGUCCUGCCCCUCAGGGAUUAGCACCCAGAAUUCCCUGAGCUGCUCUCCACCCCACCAGCCCCCAGCCCUAGAGGACAUCGGCUGCAGUUCUUGUGCGGAAAAAUCCAAGAAAACCCCUUGUGGGACUGCCAAUGGGCCAGUGAACACAGAGGUGAAAGCUAAUGGCCCACACCUCUACAGCAGCCCUACUGAUUCCACGGACCCCCGGCGACUUCCAGGCGCUAACACCCCACUACCAGGCCUCUCACAUCGGCAAGGCUGGCCCCGGCCCCUCACGCCACCAGCGGCUGGGGGCCUUCAGAACCACACCGUCGGCAUCAUUGUGAAGACAGAGAAUGCCACUGGCCCCAGCUCUUGCCCCCAGAGGAGUUUGGUUCCUGUCCCAAGCCUGCCCCCUUCCAUUCCCAGCUCUUGUGCCAGCAUCGAGAACACCAGCACUUUGCAAAGAAAGACUGUCCAAUCACAGAUAGGACCUCCGUUGACAGAUUCAAGGCCACUGGGCUCACCCCCAAACGCCACCCGGGUGCUCACUCCCCCGCAAGCAGCAGGAGAUGGUAUCUUGGCCACAGCAGCCAACCAACGAUUCAGCUCACCAGCGCCAUCGUCAGAUGGCAAGGUCAGCCCCGGCACGUUAUCCAUAGGAAGCGCUUUAACCGUACCCUCUUUCCCAGCCAACUCUACUGCCAUGGUGGACCUCACCAACUCACUUCGAGCAUUUAUGGAUGUCAAUGGAGAAAUCGAGAUAAAUAUGCUGGACGAGAAGCUGAUCAAGUUUCUGGCCUUGCAGAGAAUACAUCAGCUUUUCCCCUCCCGGGUCCAACCUUCACCGGGCAGUGUCGGGACACAUCAGCUGGCUUCUGGAGGGCACCACACAGAAGGUGCGCAUGUACACACCUGUCACCACAUCAUCAGAUCUCCCCUCUACGUGUGCGAAUGGUCACCUUGCCUCCAUGGAGAAUCUGAGCUUCCAGUAUCUCAAACCUCCUUGUGUGCUUUUCAUGGGCUUAAUAAAGCACCAUGGUUUUUUUCUGAAGAGAGCAGGAACAAGAUGGCAACCACAGCUUUCUGAUCAGACUUGGGGAAGUCUGCUGUAACUUUCUUUCAUAUAUAAGUCUACUUCGAGACACAGCAAAGCAGCUACCAGUACCUUUGGGUAUAUGUAGUGUACUUUCUGCUUACUUGCUUUCAAAUAUUUGAUAGAAGGGCUUCCUGACUGAGUGCAGUGGCUCACACCUGUAAUCCCAGCACUUUGGGAGGCUGAGGUGGGAGGAUCACUUGAGCCCAGGAGUUGGAGACCAGCCUGGGCAACACAGUGAGACCCUAUCUCUACAAAUAAUUUUAAACUUACCCAGGCAUGGUGGCAUAUACCUGUAGUCCCAGCUGCUUGGAAGGCUAAGGUGGGAGGAUCGCUUGAGCCUGGGAGGUCAAGGCUGCAGUGAGCUAUGAUUGUGCCACUGCACUCCAGCCUGGGUGACAGAGUGAGACCCUGUCUCCAAAUAAAUAAGUAAAUAAAUAAAUAAAUAAAAUUUUUAAAAG
rnacentral:sRNA from 1 species